rnacentral:rRNA from 1 species
UACGUAGGGUCCAAGCGUUGUCCGGAAUUAUUGGGCGUAAAGAGCUCGUAGGCGGUCCACUAAGUCGGAGGUGAAAUCUCGGGGCUCAACCCCGAAAUUGCCUUCGAUACUGGAGGACUUGAGGCAGGUAGGGGAAGGUGGAAUUCCUGGUGUAGCGGUGAAAUGCGCAGAUAUCAGGAGGAACACCAGUGGCGAAGGCGGCCUUCUGGGCCUGUACUGACGCUGAGGAGCGAAAGCGUGGGGAGCGAACAGG